CUGAAUGGCCACUAGGCCUUCAACCUUGCAAACCUGUGGAAGCAAGAUGUGCUUCGGCGCUUCGGCGCCGUUUUUAUGCCUUAAUCAGUCUAUGUGUCUGAAUCAAAUACAAGAAAUA
rnacentral:misc_RNA from 1 species